rnacentral:rRNA from 1 species
UACGGGGGGGGGCAAGCGUUGUUCGGAAUUACUGGGCGUAAAGGGCGCGUAGGCGGUUGGAUAAGUCAGCUGUGAAAACCACGGGCUUAACUCGUGGCCUGCAGUUGAGACUGUCUGGCUUGAGUGUGGGAGAGGAGAGUGGAAUUCCUGGUGUAGCGGUGAAAUGCGUAGAUAUCAGGAGGAACACCGGUGGCGAAGGCGGCUCUCUGGACCACAACUGACGCUGAGACACGAAAGCCAGGGGAGCAAACGGG